rnacentral:rRNA from 1 species
AAAAAUUAACUGACUAAAAUUUUCAUAAUAGUUUUAUAAUAGUUUUAGUAAAGAUAAAUAUACUUUUGAGUUCGGUAUGGGUUCAAGUAUUUUCUUAGACUUACUUUUU